rnacentral:rRNA from 1 species
GCUAGUGAUUGAUUCAGUUUGAGGUGACUGACGUGGCGGACGGGUGAGUAACGCGUGGGUAACCUAGCCUUAUACAGGGGGAUAACAGUUAGAAAUGACUGCUAAUACCGCAUAAGCGCACAGUAUCGCAUGAUACAGUGUGAAAAACUCCGGUGGUAUAAGAUGGACCCGCGUCUGAUUAGCUAGUUGGUGAGGUAACGGCCCACCAAGGCAACGAUCAGUAGCCGACUUGAGAGAGUGAUCGGCCACAUUGGGACUGAGACACGGCCCAAACUCCUACGGGAGGCAGCAGUAGGGAAUAUUGCACAAUGGGGGAAACCCUGAAUGCAGCGACGCCGCGUGAAGGAUGAAGUAUUUCGGUAUGUAAACUUCUAUCAGCAAGGAAGAAAAUGACGGUACUUGACUAAGAAGCCCCGGCUAAAUACGUGCCAGCCGCCGC